GAUGAACGCUAGCUACAGGCUUAACACAUGCAAGUCGCGGGGCAGCAUGGGGGUUGCUUGCAAUCCCCGAUGGCGACCGGCGCACGGGUGAGUAACGCGUAUCCAACCUGCCCUUCACCACGGGAUAACCCGGCGAAAGUCGGACUAAUACCGUAUGUUGUCCAUUGACGGCAUCCGAAUUGGACGAAAGGGUUGGCGGUGAAGGAUGGGGAUGCGUCCGAUUAGCUGGACGGCGGGGUGACGGCCCACCGUGGCGACGAUCGGUAGGGGUUCUGAGAGGAAGGUCCCCCACACUGGAACUGAGACACGGUCCAGACUCCUACGGGAGGCAGCAGUGAGGAAUAUUGGUCAAUGGGCGUAAGCCUGAACCAGCCAAGUAGCGUGCAGGAUGACGGCCCUAUGGGUUGUAAACUGCUUUUAUGCGGGGAUAAAGUGGCCCACGUGUGGGUUUUUGCAGGUACCGCAUGAAUAAGGACCGGCUAAUUCCGUG
rnacentral:rRNA from 1 species